AAAAUUGAAUUUUGUUAGUAUAAAUUUCUCGUGGAAAACAUUUUACCUUGAAUGAGUCAUGACAGGAUGGGUUCGAUCAUUACAUUGAAGAAAAAGGCGGCCUCCAUGUUCGUCAAGCCAAACCCCGACCCAGCUGAAGCACCCAGUGAUAUUGAGGUUCGACACGGCAUGUCCGUACACUCAUUUUUGUGUCUGAAGAGGAUUGAACCUCUCAAGCUUGGUGAGGUAACGGACGGUUCCAGGUCUUAGAGCUUGUUCGUGCUGAGCAGAGACGACUACUUAUUCUACCGACGAUGUAGGAGGUUCUUCAUGGUUUAGCAGUGGACUUCUUUUUAGUUGUUCGCUUUCCAGUAUUGGCUUUUGAUUAGGGGUCCACCAGAUGGAUUCCCGAGUUGUAUUAUAAUUGGAGAAGUUGGAUGUAACAAACUAAUUCUUAUUUAUAAGAUUUAUUCUGAAGUUUUCAAUAAA